rnacentral:rRNA from 1 species
GAUGAACGCUGGCGGCGUGCCUAAUACAUGCAAGUCGAGCGAACGGACGAGAAGCUUGCUUCUCUGAUGUUAGCGGCGGACGGGUGAGUAACACGUGGAUAACCUACCUAUAAGACUGGGAUAACUUCGGGAAACCGGAGCUAAUACCGGAUAAUAUUUUGAACCGCAUGGUUCAAAAGUGAAAGACGGUCUUGCUGUCACUUAUAGAUGGAUCCGCGCUGCAUUAGCUAGUUGGUAAGGUAACGGCUUACCAAGGCAACGAUGCAUAGCCGACCUGAGAGGGUGAUCGGCCACACUGGAACUGAGACACGGUCCAGACUCCUACGGGAGGCAGCAGUAGGGAAUCUUCCGCAAUGGGCGAAAGCCUGACGGAGCAACGCCGCGUGAGUGAUGAAGGUCUUCGGAUCGUAAAACUCUGUUAUUAGGGAAGAACAUAUGUGUAAGUAACUGUGCACAUCUUGACGGUACCUAAUCAGAAAGCCACGGCUAACUACGUGCCAGCAGCCGCGGGUAUACGUAGGUGGCAAGCGUUAUCCGGGAAUUAUGGGCGGUAAGCGCGCGUAGGCGGUUUUUUAGUCUGAUGUGAAAGCCCACGGCUCCCUUGUGGAGGGUCAUUGGAAACUGGAAAACUUGAGUGCAGAACAUGAAAGUGGAAUUCCAUGUGUAGCGGUGAAAUGCGCAGAGAUAUGGAGGAACACCAGUGGCGAAGGCGACUUUCUGGUCUGUAACUGACGCUGAUGUGCGAAAGCGUGGGGAUCAAACAGGAUUAGAUACCCUGGUAGUCCACGCCGUAAACGAUGAGUGCUAAGUGUUAGGGGGUUUCCGCCCCUUAGUGCUGCAGCUAACGCAUUAAGCACUCCGCCUGGGGAGUACGACCGCAAGGUUGAAACUCAAAGGAAUUGACGGGGACCCGCACAAGCGGUGGAGCAUGUGGUUUAAUUCGAAGCAACGCGAAGAACCUUACCAAAUCUUGACAUCCUUUGACAACUCUAGAGAUAGAGCCUUCCCCUUCGGGGGACAAAGUGACAGGUGGUGCAUGGUUGUCGUCAGCUCGUGUCGUGAGAUGUUGGGUUAAGUCCCGCAACGAGCGCAACCCUUAAGCUUAGUUGCCAUCAUUAAGUUGGGCACUCUAAGUUGACUGCCGGUGACAAACCGGAGGAAGGUGGGGAUGACGUCAAAUCAUCAUGCCCCUUAUGAUUUGGGCUACACACGUGCUACAAUGGACAAUACAAAGGGCAGCGAAACCGCGAGGUCAAGCAAAUCCCAUAAAGUUGUUCUCAGUUCGGAUUGUAGUCUGCAACUCGACUACAUGAAGCUGGAAUCGCUAGUAAUCGUAGAUCAGCAUGCUACGGUGAAUACGUUCCCGGGUCU